rnacentral:rRNA from 1 species
CCUGCGAGGGGAGUGAAAUAGAACCUGAAACCGUAUGCUUACAAGCAGUCGGAGGACUAUGUUUCUGGCUUCGGCUAGAUUCACUGUCUGACGGCGUGCCUCUUGCUUAAUGAGCCGGCUAGUUAUUCUCCCAGGCGAGGUUAAGCGCAAGCGAGCCGUAGCGAAAGCGAGUCCGAAUAGGGCGCUAGUCUGUGGGAAUAGACGCGAAGCGGGAUGAUCUACCCUUGGCCAGGCUGAAGGUCGCUUAACCGCGACUGGAGGGCCGAACGGGUGUGAGUUGAAAAUCGCUCCGAUGAGCUGAGGGUAGGGGUGAAAGGCUAAUCAAAUUCCGUAAUUGCUCGUUCUCCCCGAAAUGCCUUUAGGGGCAGCCUCGUGUGGUCUGCCACGGUGGUAGAGCACUGAAUGGACUAGGGAGCAAUCAAGCUUACCGACUCCAAUCAAACUGCGAAUGCCGUGGACAGUAACACGGGAGUGAGACUACGAGGGAUAAGCUUCGUGGUCGAGAGGGAAAGAACCCAGAUCGCCAGCUAAGGUCCCCAACUGUAGACUAAGUGGGAAAGGAAGUGUGAUCGCUAAGACAGCUAGGAGGUUGGCUUAGAAGCAGCCAUCCUUUAAAGAAAGCGUAACAGCUCACUAGUCAAGCGAUCAUGCACCGACAAUCCAACGGGGCUCAAGUCUACGACCGAAGCUGCGAAAUGUAUGUGAACUACGGUUUACAUACUUUGGUAGGGGAGCAUUGUGUGGAGUCUGAAGGUAGACCGAGAGGACUACUCAACGUCACGCAAGAGACCCUGCCGGCAUAAGUAGCGAUAAACACGAUGAGAACUCGUGUCGCCGAAAGUCUAAGGUUUCCUGAGGAAGGUUAAUCCGCUCAGGGUUAGGCGGGUCCUAAGGUGAGGCCGAAAGGCGUAGCUGAUGGACAACAGGUUAAUAUUCCUGUCCCGCCGAAUGAACGUUAUCACGAUGGGGUGACGCAGAAGGAUAGGGGAUUCUGGUGAUGGAUGUCCAGAUGGCCCUGCGUAAGCCGGAUCUCGUAGGAAAAUCCGCGAGGUCAUUCAACGGUGAGGCAGGUCCCGAGGUCACACGACCGCAAAGUCCCUGAUUUCACGCUGCCUGGAAAAACCUCUAAGGAGUACAUUCGGUGCCCGUACCACAAACCGACACAGGUAGACGAGGUGAAUAUCCACAGGCGCUCGAGAGAACACUCGCUCAGGAACUAGGCACAUUAGCCCCGUAACUUCGGGAGAAGGGGCGCCGCGCUAGGGUUUAUAGCCCGAAGCGGCCGCAGUGAAAUGCGCUCUGCGACUGUUUAACAAAAACACAGCUCUCUGCCAAGUCGAAUACGACGUAUAGGGGGUGACACCUGCCCGGUGCCGGAAGGUUAAAGCAAGGGCUCAGCUCCCGCAAGGGAACGAAGGCCUGAACUGAAGCCCCGGUGAACGGCGGCCGUAACUAUAACGGUCCUAAGGUAGCGAAAUUCCUUGUCGGGUAAGUUCCGACCUGCACGAAUGGUGUAACGAUAGAGCGACUGUCUUGGCGAGUGACUCGGCGAAUUUGUGGUUCCGGUGAAGACGCCGGAUGCCCGCAUCUAGACGGAAAGACCCCGUGCACCUUUACUGCACUCUGGUCAUGAGUAACGGUAUGGUCUGCGUAGCAUAGGUGGGAGCCUUUGAUUCUCAGGUCUCGGCUUGAGAGGAGGCAACAGUGAAAUACCACCCUGAUCGUUCUGUCGCUCUAACUUACGGCCCGCGACGGGCCGGAGGACAUGGCCAGACGGGUAGUUUGACUGGGGCGGUCGCCUCCCAAAAUGUAACGGAGGCGCC